rnacentral:rRNA from 1 species
GAUGAACGCUGGCGGCGUGCCUAAUACAUGCAAGUCGAGCGAACGGACGAGAAGCUUGCUUCUCUGAUGUUAGCGGCGGACGGGUGAGUAACACGUGGAUAACCUACCUAUAAGACUGGGAUAACUUCGGGAAACCGGAGCUAAUACCGGAUAAUAUUUUGAACCGCAUGGUUCAAAAGUGAAAGACGGUCUUGCUGUCACUUAUAGAUGGAUCCGCGCUGCAUUAGCUAGUUGGUAAGGUAACGGCUUACCAAGGCAACGAUGCAUAGCCGACCUGAGAGGGUGAUCGGCCACACUGGAACUGAGGCACGGUCCAGACCCCUACGGGAGGCAGCAGUAGGGAAUCUUCCGCAAUGGGCGAAAGCCUGACGGAGCAACGCCGCGUGAGUGAUGAAGGUCUUCGGAUCGUAAAACUCUGUUAUUAGGGAAGAACAUAUGUGUAAGUAACUGUGCACAUCUUGACGGUACCUAAUCAGAAAGCCACGGCUAACUACGUG